GACAGAGGGUGCAAGCGUUGUUCGGAAUUACUGGGCGUAAAGCGCGUGUAGGCUGCUUUGCAAGUCGGAUGUGAAAGCCCCGGGCUCAACCUGGGAAGUGCACUCGAAACUGCAGAGCUCGAGUCCUGGAGAGGAAGGCGGAAUUCUCGGUGUAGAGGUGAAAUUCGUAGAUAUCGAGAGGAACACCGGUGGCGAAGGCGGCCUUCUGGACAGUGACUGACGCUGAGACGCGAAAGCGUGGGGAGCAAACAGG
rnacentral:rRNA from 1 species